CUACGGGACGCAGCAGUGGGGAAUAUUGCACAAUGGGCGAAAGCCUGAUGCAGCAACGCCGCGUGAGGGACGACGGCCUUCGGGUUGUAAACCUCUUUUAGCAGGGAAGAAGCGAAAGUGACGGUACCUGCAGAAAAAGCACCGGCUAACUACGUGCCAGCAGCCGCGGUAAUACGUAGGGUGCAAGCGUUGUCCGGAAUUAUUGGGCGUAAAGAGCUCGUAGGCGGUUUGUCGCGUCUGCUGUGAAAAUCCGAGGCUCAACCUCGGACCUGCAGUGGGUACGGGCAAACUAGGGUGCGGUAGGGGAGAUUGGAAUUCCUGGUGUAGCGGUGGAAUGCGCAGAUAUCAGGAGGAACACCAAUGGCGAAGGCAGAUCUCUGGGCCGUAACUGACGCUGAGGAGCGAAAGCGUGGGGAGCGAACAGGAUUAGAUACCCUAGUAGUC
rnacentral:rRNA from 1 species